rnacentral:lncRNA from 1 species
GGGGGAGUGAGUGGGAAUAAGAGAUCAUACGAGCACACUGGGAACCCACAAGCUGGAACAUACAGGUUAGCACUGCCAGGCUGACCUAACUCGCAGGUGCGCGGUUGCCAGAGAGGACUCAGACCCACGUAAAAGAUCAGAGGGAUGUUUAUAAUCACCAAAACUCAAGACAAGGUCUCUGACUUACUGCUAUACCUCGAAGAACCACUUUGGGAGAUGGCCACCAAGAGCCUUCUGAAGCAGAGCGCCGGAAAGCUGCUUAAACCGUAACAGGAGGGAGACGGAAGGUCCGUGGGGACAGUGAGAGCCGGCUG